CCCCUUCCUGGACUUUGCCCCAGUGGAUGGACAGGAAACUGCCAGCCAUGCUGGCCACCACAACCAACUUUCACUGCCUGGCUCCUAGCAACCCCACUCUCUCCAUCUCCUGGCUGAAGAACCACAAGAGGUCUAAGGAGAGCAUCACAUCAGGAUAUUGAGCUAUGGCACCAGAAGUAGACCCUGAUCAUGGAGUGUGGUGCCCUCAGACUGCUUUCAUCCCACCUCUGUGAUGAAGAACAAGUGCAGCAGCCUUCAGCAGACAUGCAUGCUGGACAGCUGGGACUGCUGACCAACCAGAUGCAGUAAGGUGAAAUUCCACUGCAAAGUGUAUGGCAACUUAGUAUGUGGAGGUGAACAACAGCAAGGUGGGUGUCAAUGGCAUGCCCUAUGUGACUGUGCUUAGGUUAGCUGCUGCUGCUUGUCAGGA